UUCCCUUUGGUUAUUAUGAGAGCAGUUAGAGUUGUGGGGUCCACUCUUUGAUCCUUAUCAACAUUCAAAAUGCAUCCAAAAAGGCUUCCUGUAGAAGCUUUCGGUGCAGAAAUUCAUCCCUGAGAGAGUUCGGAACUUCACUCUCCCGAACUGUAGCAAAUGUCGUUGAUUUGUGAAGAAAGAAUCGCAGAAAUCACUGUAGUAUAGUUCGCUACAGUGACGCGGGUCCUGUAGUUCAGUUCGGUAUGGAGUAUCUGCACUGCAGUAAUGUUCGGUUGCAGCAGAAUUCAGCUAGUGAAGACUGAAGAGAGAAUUUCUGGACUCUGUAGAAAAACUGUGGUUCAUUGUAAAAGGAUUUUCUGAAGAACAAUUCAACAGUUCCGUAAACCUUGGAAGGAUUUGGAAGAGUAAGAAUCAAAAGGAAUUUUAGAGAAAUAAUAGAAGAUAAGAAUAUUGGAAGAAAGUUAAGAUUCUUCAGAUAUAUAUAUAUGCAAAGAGAAGAUUUCAUAGUGACCUACAAUCGUAGAAGGGUGCGAAGUAGAGAAUUGGAAGAGACGAUUCAUCAAGGAGGCAAAGGAAAAGAUAAAGUUGUUGUUGAUUAGAUUUCAAGUACCUCAAUGUUAUGUAUUAUUUAUAUAUCUGAUAGUAAGGAUUAGAUAAGGGUAUGUAAACACUCAUUUGAAGUAUUUUGUUUGGAUGUUCCUUAGUGGCUCUGUAACUAUGUUAUGGAUGUUUAAACUGUUAAGUGCUUCA